UAUUUGUCUGCGUGUCUGUUUUCCCCACCAGACCUUCCAUAAUCUUGUGACUGAACAACUGAAUAAUGAAGCCUGAGCCCACAUAAGAACUCCAAAAGAGAGAAGAGCACUAGCAUUCCUUCCUCACCAACCACUCUGGGGAAGCUGGUGACUUCAAGAACUCAGCAAAGGUAAGAUUGUGAGCAGAAAGGAAGGCGGCAUUUUAAUCUAUGAAAAGGGAAAGAAGUUGACAUAUAUUUAUUGACCAGUCAUUGUAAAGUAAUCUCUUUAAUAUCUGAGUGCAGUAUUUAAACUGCCAUAUUAUUCACUGUUCUGGGGUGAAUUGUAUGCCCCCCCCCCAAAAUAUACUUAUCUGUUUGAAGUUCUAAGUCCUAAACCCCAGCACCUCAAAGUGUGACUGUAUUUGGAGACAGGGCCUUUAAAGAGAUAUGAAGGGGAAAUGAUGUCAUAUGAGUGAGUGCUAAGCCAAUACGACUGGUGUCCUGACAGGAAGAGGAGGUUGGGACACAGACAGGCACACAGGGAAGGCCCCGGUGAAGACGACCGAGGUAAGCUAGGAAGACAGGGCCUACAAGGAAUAAACCCUGCUGACACUCUGACCUUGGAAUUUUAGUUUCCAGAACUGUGAAGAAAUAAAUUUCUGGUUUUUUUUCUAGAAUCUGUGGUGCUUUGUUGUAGCAGCCCUAGCAAAUACAUGCAUUCUCAUGAAAUUAAGGACUUGCUAAUAAACUGGAAUUUAUAAUGUGAUUUACUAGAGCACAUGUUUAGGGCACUAGGAUUUUUCUGGCCACUGUGAAGUCUGGAAAUACAUAAAAAUAGUCUGAGAAUCUCUCUCAGUGAGAUACAGAUACCUACCGAACACCUAGAAUGAAAAUGCUCAGAAACAUCAUCACUUUCCUCUUCCCUUCCUACAGCAGGAAAUCAGUAAGUAUAAAGAUGGGCAAGACAUAAAGGCAAUAGCACCGGUGGUUGGUUUAAGUGAACUUUCCCAUAAAGAGGAACACAACUGGGAGGGAUCAAAUUAUUCAGCAGAAAACACUGCUCCAUGGAAAACCCAAAUUGCUUGUCACACACCUUGGUUCUGUAUUUGGGCAAAAUAUAAUAGUAGGAGAAAAAGUUUAUGAGAUUUGAAUUUCUUAUACAACCACAAUUCACAGGACACAAUAGCAGGACAAACCUGGUGGUGAUCUUAUAAUAGAACUGGUACCCUUUUUCCAGACAGUAUUCAAAUAUGGAUAAAAUUGUGUCAUUUUACAAUUCCUAACAGAGUUUAGGCUAGUUAUGACACCCUACUUUUCUAAUUUUAACCAUCCAAAAUAGGGGUGGAUGCUUCCCAGGCCUCUGUAAACCACAAUGAACAUGAAUUUUGUUCAACAAACAUUUGUUAAGAUACCAAUGUGCACCAUAUACACUAUGCAGGACUCAAAGGGAAUAAAAAUAAAGAGAAAUCCUCUUUGCCUUCAAGGAACUUGUAGUCUAGUGGUGAGACAGACACAUAAGCAAACAAAGUUAAAAUAGAAUACUUUAAGAGGUAUGCAUAACUCACUGUGGGAACACAGAGGUGAGGCCCUUGGCUGUCCCUGGGGAUUCAGGGACACCUGGGUUAGAAAUAAUUGUAAAAAAAAAAAAAUGGGAGGAGCAUUACAGGCAGAGGGGACAAUGGGAACAAAGGUUAACUGUAAAAUCCCAAGUGUUUGAAGACAGGGAGGGUGUCUGAAAGAUAUAAAAGUAAAAGAUAUAAAAAGGAUCAAAGUCUAAGGAUUUAUGAAAAGAUGGUUGAAGUUUUCCAGCCCAGAUUCAAUCUGGAAGUUAUACUUUAUUCCAGAGCCAAUACAGGGUAUGAGCAGCAAAGAAAGACCCAGCAGGACUACCCCACAGUGCUCAGAUCUGUCAGACAGAAGAGCAGUGCCAUGCAAAGAGAGCCUAGUCUCAGCCCCCUGAGGAACUGCAGCAAGUAUCUUGCAAAACCGCUGCUGGAAAAACAUAAAAGUUCCUCAAACACCAAAAACAAAACAAAAAAAAAACACACCACUGGAUAAAAACAAAAUACCUGGAUGAAGAUUGUAUUUUUUCAACUACUAGUGAAGUAUCUACAGGUAGACUGAAAAUUCUCUGCAACCUGCAUUACAAGAUGCACAGGUUCCAGUGCAUUCAACUGUUGCUCAAGGGCAGGUGGGAGAUGAAGAGACUAGCAACAAACCAAGAUUCAGAAAGCAACAUUUUGAACAAGUUACAGAGCACCCAAUUUCAUCAACCACCACACCCUAGUGAGUUUCUACCGGCUCUAAUGAGAUAGGUUGGUUAUUAAUGCCAGACACUUGGAGCACACAGAGUCCAGAGUCUGCCACAUGCAGGCUUCAGCUUAGGUUUUCUGAAUGGUAAACAGUAUGUCUCACGCAGUUAGGUUCUAUUGUUCCCAAUCAUCUUUGUACGGUCUGUAUACACUUGUCAUUAAAAAGCAAAAUAAAAACCUCCUUCAGAUAUUGUUGCAGAUGUCUGUCUAAACCAGGCAGACAUCAGCUGCUAAUUAUAGUCAAGAUUCUGGUGUUUAAUGUAAGCAUUCGAUGUAAGCAGUGUGGUCCUCCCCAGGAAUGAAGCUUAUUUCCAGCAAAAGCACUGAUUCCUACUGAUGACCUUGGUAAGAUGAUGUUCCUUAUAGUUUGUUGAAGAAGUUAGGAAAAAAACGUAUAUCCAGACUCUUUAGAAAAUAAUUAAAAACAAGGUCUAGGCCUUAAAAGACUUAACUUUUAGUCUAGAAAAAAUCUCUUUUCUCAUAUCCAUCCCCCUCCUCCCAACCAACCUCCAUGAUGUAAUGUAACUAUAAAUAUUCUACCAGGGUUUCUCUGUGUCUCUAGCAAAACAGGGUUUUAUUGUAAUGAUGUAGAAUCUCUUGUUCUCUCUCCCCUUUCUUGUCCUCUCAUCGUGGCAUUUCCUGCCAUCCUGUGUCUGGUUUAAAGGGAACACAGCUGGCAUCCCCUGAGCUACCAUCAUGGUACACUCUUUUCACGCCCCCAUAGUAGCAAAAGCAGCCAGACAGGUAGAGAAGACAUGGACAUUUCUCUGUGGCAGAGCAGUCAUACCUCAUGCCCAGACCGAGUACUUAGCUAGAAUUGGCAGAGCUGAUGACUUAUUCCUCUCUCUUUCCAAGAUGUGCCUUCUGGAACUGCUACCUCUAAUUGUGAGAGUCCUAAACCCUUGAAAGGGACCAUCCCUUCCAAGAAACCUUCCCAGAUGUCUCCAUACAGUAUGAUUGGUUCCACCUGCCCCUGUUCCUUUGUUAUACUCUGUUGCCGUGAGAGUACCUGCCACAGUCUGCCACUGAUACACACAGAAGAUGGUGAGCUCCUCAGAGAUUCUAUGGCUAUUCUGAAAUUUUGAAGUUGC